GGGAUUGCCCCAGUAACGGCGAGUGAAGCGGCAAGAGCUCAAAUUUUGAAUCUGGGGUCGACGACCCCCGAGUUGUAAUUUGGAGAGGCAUCCUCCGGGAGGAGCGCUGGCCCAGGUUCCUUGGAACAGGACGUCACAGAGGGUGAGAAUCCCGUGCCAGGCUGGCUGCCUCCUCCGGUGUGGAGGGCCUUCGACGAGUCGAGUUGUUUGGGAAUGCAGCUCCAAGUGGGUGGUAGAUUUCAUCUAAAGCUAAAUACCGGCGGGAGACCGAUAGCGCACAAGUAGAGUGAUCGAAAGAUGAAAAGCACUUUGAAAAUAGAGUCAAAAAGUACGUGAAAUUGUUGGAAGGGAAGCGCUUGAGGCCAGACUCGGACCCGAGCAAACAUCGAGCCCCUCGGGGCCGUGCAAUUGCUCGGUGCCGGGCCAGCAUCGGUUGGCGUGGCGGGACAAAGGUGCGGGGAAUGUGGCUCCCCUCGGGGUGUGUUAUCAGGCCCGCGCCCCAUGCCGUCGACGCCGACCGUGGACCGCGCCCUACGGGCUAGGAUGCUGGCUUAAUGGCCUUCAGCGACCCGUCUUGAAACACGGACCAAGGAGUCUAACAUCUAUGCGAGUGUUUGGGCGUCAAACCCUUGCGCGUAAUGAAAGUGAGCGGAGGUGGGAACCCCUCACCGGGCGCACCAUCGACCGAUCCUGAUGUCU
rnacentral:rRNA from 1 species